rnacentral:rRNA from 1 species
UGGGGAAUCUUGCACAAUGGGCGAAAGCCUGAUGCAGCAACGCCGCGUGCGGGAAGACAGCCCUAGGGUUGUAAACCGCUUUCAGCAGGGAAGAAACUGACGGUACCUGCAGAAGAAGAUGCGGCCAACUACGUGCCAGCAGCCGCGGUGACACGUAGGCAUCAAGCGUUAUCCGGAUUUAUUGGGCGUAAAGAGCUCGUAGGCGGUUCGGUAAGUCGGGUGUGAAAACUCUGGGCUCAACCCAGAGAGGCCACUCGAUACUGCUGUGACUAGAGUGCGGUAGGGGAGCGGGGAAUUCCUGGUGUAGCGGUGGAAUGCGCAGAUAUCAGGAGGAACACCGGUGGCGAAGGCGGGUCUCUGGGCCGGAACUGACGCUGAGGAGCGAAAGCGUGGGGAGCGAACAGGAUUAGAUACCCUGGUAGUCCACGCCGUAAACGAUGGGUGCUAGGUGUUGGGUAGCUUGCUAUUCAGUGCCGAAGCUAACGCGUUAAGCACCCGCCUGGGAGUACGGUCGCAAGAUU